CACGUCUCCAGUGAAGUACCAGUUUGAUGGUAGGCAAUAGUGAAGUACAAGUUCUUGGUGAUAUACAUCUUCUACCUAUCAGUAUUACUAAUUCUAUCAAUCAUGGAUCUUACCAAGAUAAAUGAGGUUAAUUGUCUUACUGGGGUUCUUCCUGUUAAAAAAAUGAUCGAGUUGGAGUUUAAUCGAGAAUAUAAGAUUAACGGUAUCAAAGCUAUUACAACUCAGUAUGGGACUAGGAUUGUUGUCAAUAUAAACGAUGAAUUUAACAUUUAUCUACCAUCUAGAACUAUUCAACAUCUAAAAGAUGAUAACUUCAUGAAGAGUUUGAAUGAAUUAAUAGAUUUAAACUAUCUCUUUCUGCGUUUCCAUGGUGGAAAAUAUAAUAAAUUUGAAUUUAUUAAUUCUAGUCUUGAUGUAAAAAUGACCAGUGGAAUUAUUUAAUCAAUAAAAUAUUGUAUUUCAAUAUAAAUAA
rnacentral:lncRNA from 1 species